rnacentral:rRNA from 1 species
CCUACGGGAGGCUGCAGUGAGGAAUAUUGGUCAAUGGGCGCGAGCCUGAACCAGCCAAGUCGCGUGAGGGAAGACGGUCCUAUGGAUUGUAAACCUCUUUUGUCGGGGCGCAAAAGACGCCACGCCUGGCGUUCCGACAGUACCCGAAGACAAAGCAUCGGCGAACUCCGUGCCAGCAGCCGCGGUAAUACGGAGGAUGCGAGCGUUAUCCGGAUUUUUUGGGUUAAAGGGGUGCGCAGGCGGAAGUUCAAGUCAGCGGUAAAAUUUAGUGGCUCAACCUCUUCGAGCCGUUGAAACUGGUUUUCUUGAGUGAGUGAGAGGUAUGCGGAAUGCGUGGUGUAGCGGUGAAAUGCAUAGAUAUCACGCAGAACUCCGAUUGCGAAGGCAGCAUACCGGCGCUCAACUGACGCUCAUGCACGAAAGUGUGGGUAGCGAACAGGAUUAGAUACCCCGGUAGUC